GACAGAGGGUGCAAACGUUGUUCGGAAUUACUGGGCGUAAAGCGCGUGUAGGCGGCCAUCUAAGUCGGGCGUGAAAUCCCACGGCUCAACCGUGGAAGUGCACUCGAAACUGGAUGGCUAGAGUCCUGGAGAGGAAGGUGGAAUGCUUGGUGUAGAGGUGAAAUUCGUAGAUAUCAAGCAGAACACCUGCGGCGAAGGCGGCCUUCUGGACGAUGACUGACGCUGAGACACGAAAGCGUGGGGAGCAAACAGG
rnacentral:rRNA from 1 species